rnacentral:rRNA from 1 species
CCUACGGGAGGCAGCAGUGAGGAAUAUUGGUCAAUGGCCGAAAGGCUGAACCAGCCACGCCGCGUGAGGGAAGACGGCCCUACGGGUUGUAAACCUCUUUUGUCGGGGAGCAAAGCGAGUCACGUGUGACUCAUUGAGAGUACCCGAAGAAAAAGCAUCGGCUAACUCCGUGCCAGCAGCCGCGGUAAUACGGAGGAUGCGAGCGUUAUCCGGAUUUAUUGGGUUUAAAGGGUGCGCAGGCGGAGGUGCAAGUUAGCUGUGAAAACUACGGGCUUAACUUGUAGACUGCAGUUGAAACUGGGUGUCUUGAGUGAAGUAGAGGUUGGCGGAAUGCCGAGUGUAGCGGUGAAAUGCGUAGAUAUUCGGAGGAACACCGGUGGCGAAGGCGGCCAACUGGGCUUUAACUGACGCUGAGGCUCGAAAGUGUGGGGAGCAAACAGGAUUAGAUACCCCUGUAGUC